CCAGACUCCUACGGGAGGCAGCAGUGGGGAAUAUUGGACAAUGGGGGGAACCCUGAUCCAGCGACGCCGCGUGAGUGAAGAAGUAUCUCGGUAUGUAAACUUCUAUCAGCAGGGAAGAAAACAGACGGUACCUGACUAAGAAGCCCCGGCUAACUACGUGCCAGCAGCCGCGGUAAUACGUAGGGGGCAAGCGUUAUCCGGAUUUACUGGGUGUAAAGGGGGCGCAGACGGCCAUGGCAAGCCCGGUGUGAAAGGCGGGGGCAUAACCCCUGGACUGCACUGGGAGCUGUCAGGCUGGAGUGCCGGAGGGGUAAGCGGAAUUCCUGGUGUAGCGGUGAAAUGCGUAGAUAUCAGGAGGAACACCGGCGGCGAAGGCGGCUUACUGGACGGAAACUGACGUUGAGGCCCGAAAGCGUGGGGAGCGAACAGGAUUAGAUACCCCAGUAAUA
rnacentral:rRNA from 1 species